GCUUACAGGGGUCACAGACAUUCAGAUCAUGGCAGAACUGUCACAGAUGUUACUUUGUGAAAACACAAAGAAUAAUGUGUUUGGAGAGAUCAGUCUUCAAUUAGCUAUAUUUUCUAGGAGCCUACCUUUACUUAGCCUCACAACAUGGGCCUUAGCUUUAGCACUUAAUCUGCACAAAUACCUGGCUUAAGUGUUAUGACUGACUGGCUAUUCAACCAAACCAUACAAAUGACCAAUUCGGUAAGAAAGCAUGAACUUCAGUGUUGAACCAAAUCAACCAACCUCCUCAAUCCAAAUGGAGGAGGAGAAGGAGGAGGGAGAAGAUGAGGAGUAGAGAAAUAUUGUGCCUCUGAGAAAAUUUCAGCGUGGUUCACUGUGGCGAGGAUAACAAAGGAAGCUGAGGAAGUCUGUUCUGGAGGCACCAUGACAAAGCACCAGACAGAAAGCAGUCACGUGUGGGGAGAUGAGCAGAGACACCACUUCUCAAGCACCUGAUUAUUCUUUCUCAGUAUUUAGAAGCAAAAAUUAUCCUUAAGAAAAACAACCGCAAACGCAACACAGGCUACACAGAUGAGAAGAUGGGAUUUCAAGAGAGAAGGCUGAAAAGGAAGGUGACUGGAAUAUUAAGAACUGUGAGAUAUUCUGAGGAAACUCUAAUUUGUAAAUUGGUAGAAAUGCCAGUAAUUUGUUGGGAAUUGAAGACCCUCUGUAUUCAAGAGCGAAGCUUGGCAGCUGUGCACUGUUGUUUUAUCAAUCAAUAUUACAUCUGAA